rnacentral:rRNA from 1 species
GAUGAACGCUGGCGGCGUGCCUAAUACAUGCAAGUCGAGCGAACAGACGAGGAGCUUGCUCCUUUGACGUUAGCGGCGGACGGGUGAGUAACACGUGGGUAACCUACCUAUAAGACUGGGAUAACUUCGGGAAACCGGAGCUAAUACCGGAUAAUAUUUCGAACCGCAUGGUUCGAUAGUGAAAGAUGGCUUUGCUAUCACUUAUAGAUGGACCUGCGCCGUAUUAGCUAGUUGGUAAGGUAGCGGCUUACCAAGGCAACGAUACGUAGCCGACCUGAGAGGGUGAUCGGCCACACUGGAACUGAGACACGGUCCAGACUCCUACGGGAGGCAGCAGUAGGGAAUCUUCCGCAAUGGGCGAAAGCCUGACGGAGCAACGCCGCGUGAGUGAUGAAGGUCUUCGGAUCGUAAAACUCUGUUAUUAGGGAAGAACAAACGUGUAAGUAACUGUGCACGUCUUGACGGUACCUAAUCAGAAAGCCACGGCUAACUACGUG